UGAUCGUGGUGUUUUCUGAAA
ensembl:piRNA 21ur-2548 ncRNA